UUCCUCGAGAAAAAGACGGGUAAAGAUAGCCCCUUGUAGGUCCGGUAAUAAGUCUUUCCAAUCACGAAAAUCAGCUGCUUCUUCCAUAUCGUCUGCAAAACAAUGAAAUUGUGCUUUGUUAAGCUUUCUGUUCAGGAAUCAAUAACUAAUAUGAAUCUGCUUACUGGGAAACAGUACUUCUCUUACAAAAAAAUGAUUCUUUAAGUAAAUGGUAAAUGAUUUAUUUUGAUAAGAGUUAGGAAAGAUAGAUAUUUGGGUUUUUUAAGUGAAUGAAAUGUGACAAAUUUAGGAUAUAAUAAUUAAUAAAUGGAUAGAGAUAAAAGAAAACUUAAAUCACUCACACAUAGAACAAACAAAAGAAAAGAGAUGGAGAUUUACCAGUCCAAAAAUGUUCAGAGUUUCUUCUUUAAGAACCAGAAUUAUAUAAAAACUCACCCGAAAAUCCAGCAGAUGCACCGAGAGAAAGAGAGGUAAAAGAAAUAACAAAAGGGAAAGGGGUAAGACUACAACACGAGAAUUAUCCAACCGCCAACAACGACCCAAGACUUCAACACACCAAACAGCAACGAAGAGGAACUGAACAAAAGUAAAGACACAGAAACGAUGAAAGCACUUGCAGUGUAGAGAGCAAAAGAAGCUCAAAACACACACGAAGAGGUUGCUAAUGGAGGAAUACUAGUUGAAAUAUGAA
rnacentral:lncRNA from 1 species